CUGACAUUAGAUACCCGGGUAGUCCCAGCCGUAAACAAUGUGCGUUAGGUGUGUCGGUAACCACGCGUUACUGAUGCGCCGAAGAGAAAUCGUGAAACGCACCACCUGGGAAGUACGGUCGCAAGGCUGAAACUUAAAGGAAUUGGCGGGGGAGCACCACAACAGGUGGAGCCUGCGGUUUAAUUGGAUUCAACGCCGGACAUCUCACCGGAUAAGACAGCUGAAUGAUUGUCAAUCUGAAGGUUUUACAUGACUAGCUG
rnacentral:rRNA from 1 species